AUUGAACGCUGGCGGCAUGCCUUACACAUGCAAGUCGAACGGUAACAGGUUAAGCUGACGAGUGGCGAACGGGUGAGUAAUGUAUCGGAACGUGCCCAGUCCUGGGGGAUAACUACUCGAAAGAGUGGCUAAUACCGCAUACGACCUGAGGGUGAAAGCGGGGGACCGUAAGGCCUCGCGCGCUUGGCGCGGCCGAUAUCAGAGUAGCUAGUUGGUGGGGUAAAAGCCCACCAAGGCGACGAUCUGUAGCUGGUCUGAGAGGACGACCAGCCACACUGGGACUGAGACCCGGCCCAGACUCCUACGGGAGGCAGCAGUGGGGAAUUUUGGACAGUGGACGCAAGUCUGAUCCAGCCGUGCCGCGUGCGGGAAGAAGGCCUUCGGGUUGUAAACCGCUUUUGUCAGGGAAGAAACGAGUUUCUCUAAUACAGAGACUUAAUGACGGUACCUGAAGAAUAAGCACCGGCUAACUACGUGCCAGCAGCCGCCGUAACAC
rnacentral:rRNA from 1 species